CACUCCUCCACUCUCUUCCCUUCAAGUCUUUGGGUUGGCAUGCCCUCACGCUUCGAGGAUGGAUUCUCCUGCUCUCUUCUAAAUAAAAUAGAGCUGUAACACUGAUUUGCCUAAGAGCUAUAACACGGUUUGUCCAAGACCCGAGAGCUGUGACGCGCCAAGGACUUUAAUGUCCGUCACUCCAAAUCUUUGUUGUGACGAGACAAAGAACCGAGGACCAUACACUCGCGUGACAUGUCCAUCCAACAAAUGCUCAGAACUUGCUCAGAAAAUCACUGUAUCUGGUGCUGUGGGAGAUGCCAAGAUGAAUAAAAUAGAGUCGCUGUGUUAGUCAGCAUCCUAACUAAAAAAUAGGGAGACCAUUUAAAGAAUUUGUAGCAGAGGGAAUUUAGUAUAAGGAAUUGGCGAUAGAAGCACUGGGGAACCAAACGAGACGGUGUGGCAACACAGAACUUCACAACACUUGGAUGAUACUACUGCCCUUAAGCUGAGGAAACAAAGAAGAACGGGAGGUUGCCAGAGCCCAGGGGCUGGGGUCAUCAGGUGGAAGUAGAAUCGUGAUGGAUGUAUUAGUGGGAUUUGAACCAGGGUAGAUGUGAGUAGGGGCUGGAGCCAUGGAGGAGUCGCAGCAGCUCAGAGAUAUGGGUGGAGAAAGGAGGGAUGGCGAGAAGCUCCCAGGCUUCUCCCUUCCUCCUUUCCUCUUUUCUCCUGAUAGUACUUCCCCUUUGCAGGACCCUGCCAGAAGCCGGGAGAUGCAACUUGCAGGGACCAAUUUCCUCACUAUAUGAUACAGAACUGAGCAAAGGAAGGGUGACGACCAAUGGAUCUGAGCUCUGCACUUCACUUUGGAGUUGGCCUGUCCUCUUGAUUGUGACCAGCUUCUCAGAGGAAGGGCAGCUCCAGCCAGAGAAGACUGCAGCCCCUGAGCCUAAACCCACAGCUUUCUUCCACUGCCUUUCCUUUGCCAGCUCCUCUGCCACUGAUGUCUGGUUCUGUUUCAGAGGGAUCCCCUGGAGAGAGGUUAGGAGAAGGAGGAGGUGUCAGGGGUGAAGCGGGAGGAUGGAUGGGCUCUGUGAAAAACUGUCAGAUGAGGGCAAAGGUCUGGUCCAACACAAAAGAAGGAGAGGCCUGGGGUCAUUCUUUGGAAAUGAAUGGGCAAGUGGAGUAAAGAAUGAAGGGGAGCCAUGAAGAUGGUCUUAGAAAUGAGAAAACAAACAAACAAAAAAAAAAAACAAAAAAAAACUACCAGAAGCCACAGCUGAGAAUUAAGUCAGAGAA
ensembl:lncRNA